ACUCUUCUUAUUUAGACAUCUAAACAAGAUGUGAGUCAUGCUGUUGUGAAAAAAUAAGAGUUAACAUCUCACUUGUAUCCCACUGUGUGUUCCCAGCACUGGUUUCCCACCGUGUGUUAGUGCAAUAGGUUACACAGUGCAAUAGAGAACACAGGUGUCUGCUGCUUGAUGCAACUCGUAUCUUCCAGUAGAGUCCUUGCAGUGCUCUCAGUGUGACCAGGAUGUCAAUGUCCAAGCCUGGUGGCAUCUGGGCUUCCCUGCCCUGGGCAGGUGGAGUGGGCUGCAGGAGCCCUGCCAGGUCUCUGCUGCAUCCCUGCAGGUGCUGGAGCUCUUGCAUCUACCCAGCUUUAUUACAGCAUUAUGAUGAGGCCACCUCUGAAGUGCUGUGGGAUAAGUUGAUCUACGGGCAGCUUGCAACCAGGCCGCUACAGCUGCAGCAACACAUGCUCAGAUUUGGAUGUGACCAGAAUUUUCUGCCACAAACUGCAUGAGGUCCUGCGUUUUCCCAGAAGCCAUGCAGACUUUUGUUUUCUGGUGUUGGGCUAGAAUCUUCUCAUCCAGUUCAUAAAUGACUGCUUGCAAUUUCAUGCUCACUCUCUGUCCUAAGUACCCACGCAUUGCACCCCACGUGUUGGUGCUUGUGUGCAGCAUACAAAACCUGCUCUCUGGCUGUGCAAUUUCUCCUGGUUGAGGAAGAGGAGAGGCUUGUCCCAACAGAUCCAUCAUCUGCUUCCUGAAUUGCUCUGCAAGGAACCGGCUUUCCUUCCAAGCUCAAAGCAAUGAUUCACCGUCAGCACACGGUCCAGCAGCAGCUGGGAGUCACAUACACGUGAGACCUCUCAACCCACAGGAGCUGAAGAGACGAGCAAAUCCAGCCAGUUCCCAGACAUUCAACGUGGCGUAUCCCACACUGAACCUUUCUCAUAAUCUUAUUUAUAAUUUCCCAUCAGUGUUUUCUCCAGGGCCCUUGUAUUUUCCCCUUUUGUCAGGAUAGAUAAUGAAUGCAGUCACUUUGGAACUUUUAGCAUCAAAAUGACAUAGAUGUAAAUAAGGCUCAUAAAUCUCAUGACCCUUCAUGUCCAAGGGCAAAAGUACUGUAG
rnacentral:lncRNA from 1 species